CCUACGGGUGGCAUCAGUGAGGAAUAUUGGUCAAUGGCCGGAAGGCUGAACCAGCCAAGUCGCGUGAGGGAAUAAGGCCCUAUGGGUCGUAAACCUCUUUUGUCAGGGAGCAAAGGCGUCCACGUGUGGACGAGAGGAGAGUACCUGAAGAAAAAGCAUCGGCUAACUCCGUGCCAGCAGCCGCGGUAAUACGGAGGAUGCGAGCGUUAUCCGGAUUUAUUGGGUUUAAAGGGUGCGUAGGCGGAGUGUCAAGUCAGCGGUAAAAUUUCGGGGCUCAACCCCGUCGUGCCGUUGAAACUGACGCCCUUGAGUGAGUGAGAAGUAAGCGGAAUGCGUGGUGUAGCGGUGAAAUGCAUAGAUAUUAGGAGGAACACCAGUGGCGAAGGCGGCUUACUGGACUGUAACUGACGUUGAGGCUCGAAAGCGUGGGGAGCAAACAGGAUUAGAUACCCGGGUAGUC
rnacentral:rRNA from 1 species